CUCGCCUCACUGCUUCCACAGUUCAUAACAAUCCACGAUGACUGCAGAUGUGCUAUCGACAUGGAGUUCAGACGAUUGCUUCCAGUUUACGGCAAGAGACCACGAAACAACAGAGCCGAUCCAUCUUCCGCUUCCCAAAAGAGGACUUUGGCAAAUCUCUUCAAAAUCUUUUGGCAGCGUUUACAGCUACAGCUUACAGGUGGUAACCAAUAAAAAUGCCUGAAUGCAGCUUCAUGAUCACAGUUUUAUGAAGUCAAGUGGGACUCUUGCUUGGUGUCUGGAAAGAAGCCAGUGACUCUUGUUUUCAACAACUCACGACUAAAGGUUCAGCUUCAUGGGAAGUUAAAUGUUGAGGAGUGACUUAAGGGAGCUUGACUUUCUGUCUGCCAACAUCCUUAUCUUCCCCUGAUCUUACACUAAGUAUGUAAACACAGUGAAUGACAAAAUGAAUGUCUGCCAAAAAAUAACCAGAGAUGCCUUUCUCAACACUAAGCUGAUCAAAUCCCCUCUUGUUGAAAGAUGUAUUUAAGUCUGUUCAUGUGAUAUCAUCUAUUGCCA